GGAGUCUAACAUGUGCGCGAGUCAAUGGGUUUAUAAACCUAAAGGCGUAAUGAAAGUAAAGAAAGCUUUGCUUUUUGAGGGAGGAUGGUGAUUAGGCUUUUAACUAAGCGGUCACCCGCACUCCCGGGGCGUCUCUUCGUCAUUGCGACUGGAGGCGCACCAAGAGCGUACACGUUAGGACCCGAAAGAUGGUGAACUAUGCCUGGUCAGGACGAAGCCAGGGGAAACCCUGGUGGAGGUCCGUAGCGAUUCUGACGUGCAAAUCGAUCGUCAGAGCUGGGUAUAGGGGCGAAAGACUAAUCGAACCAUCUAGUAGCUGGUUCCCUCUGAAGUUUCCCUCAGGAUAGCUGGUGCCCAUGAGAACGAGUCUCAUCCGGUAAAGCGAAUGAUUAGAGGCAUUGGGGCCGAAACGACCUCAACCUAUUCUCAAACUUUAAAUAGAUGAGAACUUUGGCUUGCUUAAAUAGUGAAGCCAAAGAUUCGGAUCAGGGUGCCCAGUGGGCCAAUUUUG
rnacentral:rRNA from 1 species